GAUGAACGCUGGCGGCGUGCCUAAUACAUGCAAGUCGAGCGAACAGACGAGGAGCUUGCUCCUUUGACGUUAGCGGCGGACGGGUGAGUAACACGUGGAUAACCUACCUAUAAGACUGGGAUAACUUCGGGAAACCGGAGCUAAUACCGGAUAACAUGUUGAACCGCAUGGUUCAACAGUGAAAGACGGUCUUGCUGUCACUUAUAGAUGGAUCCGCGCCGCAUUAGCUAGUUGGUAAGGUAACGGCUUACCAAGGCAACGAUGCGUAGCCGACCUGAGAGGGUGAUCGGCCACACUGGAACUGAGACACGGUCCAGACUCCUACGGGAGGCAGCAGUAGGGAAUCUUCCGCAAUGGGCGAAAGCCUGACGGAGCAACGCCGCGUGAGUGAAGAAGGUCUUCGGAUCGUAAAACGCUGUUAUUAGGGAAGAACAAAUGUGUAAGUAACUAUGCACGUCUUGACGGUACCUAAUCAGAAAGCCACGGCUAACUACGU
rnacentral:rRNA from 1 species